rnacentral:rRNA from 1 species
AACCAUGCCGCGCGUGUGAAAAAAACCUUAUGGUUGUAAAGCACUUUUUGGGAGGGGGAGGCUACUUUAGAUUAUACCUAGAGAUAGUGGCCGUUACUCGCAAAAAAACCCCCGGCUAACUCUGUCCCCCCAGCCCCGGUAAUACAGAGGGUGCAAGCGUUAAUCGGAUUUACUGGGCGUAAAGCGCGGCGUAGGCGGUUAAUUAAGUCAAAUGUGAAAUCCCCGAGCUUAACUUGGGAAUUGCAUUCAAUACUGGGUAGAUUAGAGUGUGGGAGAGGAUGGUAGAAUUCCAGGGGUAGCAGGGGAAAUGCGUAAAGAUCUGGGAGGAAUACCGAUGGCAGAAGGCAUCCCUCUGGCCUAACGCUGACGGUGGAGAUGAGAAAGCAGGGGGAGCAAACAGGAUUAAAUCCCCUGGGUAGUCCCUGCCGUAAACGAUGUCUACUAGCCGUUGGGGCCUUUGAGGCUUUAGUGGCGCAGCUAACGCGAUAAGUAGA